UAACAAGUACACCAGCUUCACCGCUAGGCGGCAGCAGCGCGAUUCGAAUGGUGGUGGCUUUAUCUAAGCCCGCUCCUGCGGAGCCGGCUUGUUCCGGUUCUGAGCAGGGAAGAACGUCGACAGUUGGCGCUGUGGUGCUGAUGAGUAUGUUUUUGUGUUUUGCAGGUGAGCUGGUGUCCGGAAUAAUUAGAUGUGUGUAUGAAGCCAAAAUAGCAUGUUAUGUGUCGUAGAAUGUGAGUUUUGAUGCGUUAGUGGGUUAAAAUAGGUUAUAUGUAUGUUUUCUAACUAGCUUGUUUUCAGUGUUAUUAGCUUCUAUGCCAUUUCCCUCGGUGGUCACGUGACCACAGAGGGGCUGUUGUUUACGUGGCUAUUGAGCAUAUAGUUAGGGCUUGUUCCGGUUCUGAGCAGGGGAGAACGUCGACAGUUGGCGCUGUGGUGCUGAUGAGUAUGUUUUUGUGUUUUGCAGUCACCUGCAUUGAAUAAAUAAAAAGUGGAUCAAGACCAACCCGACGUGCCAUCUUUGAGGGUGUUACACAGACAUACACAAUACCGAGUGGGUGCCCUGACGCAGGUGGCGGGUGGACUCUCUCAGCUCAAUAUACACAAUCUGUUCACCCGGUGUCACCGAAGCCGUUUCAUGUGAAAGACAACACCACUGUCCCCUCCUACCCGCACACUCUGAUGAGCUGGCUGGUGGAAAUGUCAGAUAAUGAUGUGUGUCCAGCCUCUGGCUACAGUGCAGGCAACCGCUGCUGCUACAGCGUGCAUCGUGUGGAGCUUACACAAGCAACUAGGGGCAACUACAACUGCAUCACAAACAGAAGCUCCACAAAAAGCCGGCUCCGAGCUGCAGAGGGAACAUAAUCGACACGGUAGGAGUCAAAGGAAGGUAAAACAAGAAAUUCUGGGCAUCGACAUCGCAGGACUCGGCUUGGCAGAUAGACGCCGAUGUUGGAAUUCACAUCACAUGGCCGCAAAACCAUGUUGCUCCCCGGGGAGGGGAAGGAUGAGAG